UCCAAUGAUGAAGAUGAAAUCUUUGCGACCUGAUUGUCUCUUGAUAACAGCUAUAAGCAUUUUCUGAGGAU